rnacentral:lncRNA from 1 species
CAUCAUGCAGACAGCUUGCAGUAAAUAAAGAAGAAACACCUGUUAAAUGUUGGUCCUUGACGACUAGAAAAUGAGCUAUAAACAAACGAAAACAAUUGCUAAUUGCAGUUAAAGUGUGAAUGGAAAGGGAACAAAGUGUCUAACUGAGUCUGUUUCCUUGGGUUUGAUAAGUUUCUGCCUGGAAAUUUGUUCUUCUUUUCAUUUACCAGUGUUUGCUGAUAACCUUACUGACUUUUCACCUUGGCCCAUUUUCUUAAUUUGCUUCAUAAUUAUUAAGUAGUUGACAGUUUGAAAAGUCUCUGAAAUACCUGGGCCUUUGAGUUUAAUAGCAGGUGUUUUGGGGUGGUGUGGGGAGGGGAGGGGGUGAGCUUUUGACUAUUAUAUGUGAAACAGGUGCUAUGCUCUAACCAGAACUGUGGAGGAGAAUCCAGGAAGUCAUUCCUCUUAACUAGGAACUUGUGUUUCAGGGUGGCCCUAGGCAACCCAUCUCUCUAAAAUUUUUUGACCUGUCUAUAAUAUCCCGCAAGGGAUUGGAUCAGUAUUACCUAGUGAUAUGUGAGAAGAGGAAUAAACCAUGAAAAACAAUAAAAUAUUUAUACCACCAUCCUACAA